UUAAAAGGGAGUCAGGGUCCACGGCACAGCCCCAUCAUUGCAGGGACGUGGAGCUGGUGGGAUCACACCAUGGCCUGGGUCCCUCUCCUCCUCGUGGUGCUCGCCCACACCUCAGGUUCUCUGGUCCAGGCAGCACUGACUCAGCCGUCCUCAUUGUCUCACAAGGUGGAAGAAACCGUCAAGAUCACCUGCUCUGGUAACAGCUAUGACUUUGGCUGGUUUCAGCAGAAGGUCCCUGGCAGUGCCCCUGUCACUGUGAUCUACUACAAUGACAAGAGACCCUCGGACAUCCCUUCGCGAUUCUCCGGAUCCACAUCCGGCUCCACGGCCACAUUGACCAUCACUGGGGUCCAAGCCGAGGACUAGGCUGUCUAUUUCUGUGGUGGCUCUGACAGCAGCAGUGGCAGCACCU